rnacentral:rRNA from 1 species
GACGAACGCUGGCGGCGUGCUUAACACAUGCAAGUCGAACGGAAAGGCCCUGCUUGCAGGGUGCUCGCGUGGCGAACGGGUGAGUAACACGUGGGUGAUCUGCCCCUUACUUUGGGAUAAGCCUGGGAAACUGGGUCUAAUACUGGAUAGGACCAUGCUGUAGGUGGUGUGGUGGAAAGAUUAGUUUCGGUAAGGGAUGAGCUCGCGGCCUAUCAGCUUGUUGGUGGGGUAAUGGCCUACCAAGGCGUCGACGGGUAGCCGGCCUGAGAGGGUGGACGGCCACAUUGGGACUGAGAGACGGACCAGACACCUACGGGAGGCAGCAAGGGGGAAGAUUGAACAAUGGGCGCAAGCCUGAUGCAGCGACGCCGCGUGGGGGAUGACGGCCUUCGGGUUGUAAGCUCCUUGCAGCCAUGACGAAGCCCUUGUGGUGACGGUAGUGGUAGAAGAAGCACCGGCUAACUACGUG